rnacentral:rRNA from 1 species
UACGAAGGGUGCAAGCGUUACUCGGAAUCACUGGGCGUAAAGCGUGCGUAGGCGGUUUCUUAAGUCUGUCGUGAAAGCCCUGGGCUCAACCUGGGAAUGGCGAUGGAUACUGGGAAGCUAGAGUGUGAUAGAGGAUCGUGGAAUUCUCGGUGUAGAGGUGAAAUUCGUAGAUAUCGAGAGGAACACCGGUGGCGAAGGCGGCGAUCUGGACGAUGACUGACGCUGAGGCGCGAAAGCUAGGGGAGCAAACGGG